GCAUUUGCUGUCGAAUCGUCACCUUCACCAGUCCCUUCCAAGGCAUCUUUACCUUCGAAGUCACCAUCUCCUUCUUCUCCGGUUUCUUCCCCCAAGUCCCCCUCCAUUAAGUCAUCGUCACAAUACUCCAAUGGCUCAUUUUUUUCACAAUCAAAAUCCUACGAAGAAGCACCCAAGUCAUCCCAUCCUGAUGCCCCAAAGAGCUCUUCAAGCUCCUCUUCCCCUAAUCCUAGUUAAAGCGACAACCCUAACGCCAACAAAGGAUACUCUUCUGAGGUUGAGUCUCCUGAGGAGGUCUCCACCCCUCCUUCACCAACUGCCAAUGAUGAAGUUUCUCACUCCCCUACUCCUAGCCCUGAAAGCACGGGUGAUGUUUUCGAUAGUGAGACCCUUGCACCAGCACCCUCUAAUGCCAUUGAAAUAAAGGCCACCACUUGCAUUGUCGGUGUUUUAACUAUUGUCGGAUUCUUCCUCUUUUAAGCUUCACAUGCAUAAGUUCAUGGAAGCCCUUGAGAUGUGCUUUCUAGUUACCUUUAAUUUUUAUUAAAAAAAGUCAUAUUUAUAUGCUAAUUAAAAUUGUACUCUUGAGGCCUGAAAUAAAUUUUAUAAUAUAUAUUUUUAAUUAAUGUACUAAUACUGUAACACCCCAAACCCGACCUAGGAGUUAUGGCUGAAUCGGGCAGUGUCACAUUGAGGUGGUUAGCGAAAAAUUGGACUCAUUGGUAAAAGUUUGUUUCUAGGUUGAAAAACCUCAUAAUUAUUAUUUAACAAAUCAUCUAACCAAAACGUUUGCCUUGUUGUCUGCUUUUGAUAUAAAAGGUUGAUCUAAAAAUGCGGACGCAUUUGAAAACUCUAACGUUUAAUGUUUGUGUCUUUGAAAAUAAUAUUUAUUUUGAAAAAUUGUUUUCACCUAACUUGUUGUAUAAAAUAUGUAAGCAAAAGCCCAAUUAAAAUUUAAAACCCAAAUUAAAGUCCUUAUUACAAAAACAAAACUCAAAUAUAUAAACUAAGUUAAAAUAAAAGAAAAUACAAUCGAAGCAGUAGUGUGGCCACCUCCGAGUCCCUCGUAGCACCGAAUUGUCUAUGGCUGAGGAUUACCUGAACAGUUAAAAGGAGAGGGUGAGUUUAUGAAAACUCAGUGUGUAAUCCUCUACCAAACAGUUAGCAUACAACAUGUAGUAAUAGUAUGGGCCUGAGCCUAUUCAGUAGCAGUACAGUGUGGGCCUUAGCCCGAUAUAGUAAUAAUAUGGGCCUUAGCCCAAUAUAGUAACAGUGUGGACCUUAGCCCAAAACAGUAACAGUGUGGGGCUUAGCCCAAUACAGAAACAGUGCAGUGCAAUAAUUCAACCAAUCCCAAUCUAGCCAACACACCACUUCAUACCACCAACACAUCAUGUGGGGAUAAAAUCGACCCACCCAGCCAACACACCAAUAUCGCAUCAAAGCUGCCAAUAAUAGCAUCGUAGUACAGUUGCCAGUAUCAGUAUCGCAUCAAAGCUACCAGUAACAGUACAUGUGGCAAAGCCACCAAUAGGUCCACAGUCAUCUUGGGCGACCCGUGCGACCUUAACAGUACAGUACACUUCCUCCAAAUAUUACAACCCAACCCUAUGCAACAUUUCGUGACAUAAUAUCAUGCGUGUAUGCAAAAUGUCAUGUUCAAUCAUAGUCAUACAUAUCAUAGAGAAAAUCUAUCAUACAUAACAUAAUUCCAUAAUAGUCAUUUUAUCUCCUAGGGGUAUAACAGUCAUUUUACCCUAUGGGGGUAUUUUGGUCAUUUUACCCUAUAGAGGUAUUUUAGUUAUUUUACCCUAUAGGGGUAUUUCGAUCAUUUUACCCUAUUAGGGUAUUUCGAUCAUUUUACCCUAUGAGGGUAUUUCGGUCAUUUUACUCUAUAGAGGUAAUUCAGUCAUUUUACCUUGUGAGGGUAAUUUAGUCAUUUUACCCUAUGGGGGUAAUUCGGUCAUUUUUCUCUGUGGGGGUAAUUCAGUCAUUUUACCCUGUAAAGGUAAUUCUAUCAUUUUACCCUGUGAGGGUAAUUCAAUCAUUUUAUCCUGUGGGGGUAAUACGAUCAUUUUAUCCUAUGGGGGUAAUUCGGUCAUUUUACUCUGUGGGGGUAAAUUUUACCUUGUGGGGGUAAUUCGGUCAUUUUACCCUGUGGGGGUAAUUCGAUCAUUUUACCCUGUGAGGGUAAUUCGGUUAUUUUACCCUUUGGGGGUAAUUCGAUCAUUUUACCCUGUAGGGGUAAUUCGGUCAUUUUACCCUAUGAGGCAAUUCGAUCAUUUAUCGAUCUCUCGAAAGGUCUGCAGUCGCCUUGAGCUACUCAGGUAAUCUAAAUGGUCAUAACAAUGUAAAUGGGCCCAAGGCCCAUUACUCGGCCCAAGUGGGCCCACACUCUCGUGCGGCCUGUUUAGCCCAAAUUCUGCCAAUGCUAUGAUAUCUACAUAGCCUAGUCCAGAAUUUGCCACAAUUCGUAGAUUUCAUCUGUGUGGGGCCCACGAGCCCAUUAAGCCUACACGGCCCAUUUCGGUCAAAUGUGGCCCAUUAUAGCCUAAGCCCAUGGAAAUGCUCAUGAUGGCCUCUACAGUUUAUCGCCCAUGAUUCAUAGGUUUGGCUUUCUACACGAGUACCGUAUUUCGGCUUUUCGGCUUUUGCUGUUCUACAAUUACACUGGGGUGGUUACACACUUGAUGCGAUUUGUAGAUUCCCUUCGUUCCGAACAUACUUUUUUCGAAAAUCAAUGAUCAUCGCACCCUUGGUUCCUAGCCAAUCAACCUCGACCACCACUAGUUAGGAAUGGAAGCAAUGCAGGUUGGAGAGAGCGACAAAAACCUUGAAAACCUCGCUGAUCUCCCAUCGAGAACAAGGAACAAAUGAGAUGUGAUAUAUAUCUCUCCACAACAACAACCUCCCCAAAUCUCAAUAUUUUCUCAUCAAAUCUCUCCAAAUAUCCCUCCUCAAUUCUCUCUAUGACCAGUUCAAACUCCAUUUAGCAGUAUUUCAAUCCAACUCUACCACCCACACGAAUUAGGCAGCAAAAUAAAUACUCCCUUUUUGAUAAGCCACCACUCAAACCUUAGACCCUAUGUACACUCCACAUGCCCCUUACCACUAGACCAACAACUCCUUUGUAUCAUAUUUUAACCACAAUAAUUUAAGAACCUACUAUCUAGAUCUAAGGAUUUUAUUCACUUAAAAUAAAAAUUUUGCAUAAGCCAAGGCUUCAACCCCUGACUUCUCAGACACUUCCAAACACUCCUAAAUCACUUAACCACUGAAGCAGACAUUCACUUAUGUCACUUCCUUGCACAACUAAAUAUUUAUGUGCAGUCUCCUAACUGUUCCCUUGUUCAAAACCUAUUUUUUCUAGGCCCAAAAUUCGGGGUGUUACAAAUAAUGAAUCAAAACUCGUUAAUAUCUGGCAUCAAAUAAGUUCUAAUCACUGAUUAAGCUUGUUUAAGAAUUUUCAUUCUUAAGGUCGAACUUGAGAUAGAUAAAGCUGGUCAGUAUUCAAGCUCAAGCUUAGCCUAAUAAUUAAGUUUAGGUUAAUAAUAUAUAUUAAAGAUGAUAACAUAUUUUAAUAAUCUAAAAACAUUUAAAAUAUAUAUUAAAAAUGAAAGGCUCGAUAAGGCUCACGAGCUAUUCAAGCAAGUAUUUCUAAGUUCGAAUUUUACUCGAUUGAUAGCUAAAGCUCGGCUAGAAAAUUAUCGAAUCAAGUUCAAUUUUUUUAGUUAAAUUUAUUGUAGUGAAUGCUAUGUUUUAAUAUGUUUGUAACACCCUAGGAAAAUCUCACAUCGAGAAAGCACGGGAGAGACCUUGUCUAUAUAAAGGGGUAAAAACACUUAUGUAGUAAGAGGUCUGUUGGGGGUGAAUGGGCACUCCCGAGAGCAAAGCCGUGAGGGCCAUGUGCCAUGCCGAUUCUAUACUAGUUGAAUUCAUGUAUGUGUAUACUUAAGCUAAUCGAAUGUGUCUAUUGGCUUGUUUGCUAUAAACGAAUAUGUGUAAUCUGCUAAUGUACGCUAUUGUAUUGCUUUCUCAUGUUCUGAAUGCAUGAUUACAUGCUUAUUGUUCUGAUUUUUUGAAAGUUUGACAAACAUACCUGUGUUACUAAUUUAUUGAUCGCAUGUUAUAUCAUUCCACUACUCUGUAUGGUAGUUGUUUCUAUCAAGCAUGAUCUCAUGCUACAUAUAUGACAUAUUAUAUUGCAUUGCAUGGUGAUUGGGAUUGAUUGGUGAUGGAUGAGUUCCGUGGAGUAUUGGCGGUAUAUCAACAAUAUUGUUGUUAGUAUACUACACUCGGAGUAUUGUAGGAGUUAUUGGAUAUUGGUGGCUUGACCACAUCAUUGGCAGCAUCAUCUGCAUCUUAUUGGUAGCUUGUCUACAUUAUUAGCGGUUUACUACAAUUUACUAGCAGCUUAUCUGCAUUUUUGGUAGGUCAUCCACGUUACUGCUAUCUUGUUAGCAAACUGUUAUUGUUGGUUUAUCCAUACUAAGCUACGACUCCUAAUUAUUUUGUUGAUUUGGUAAAUGGGUUCUGAGGAACUCGUGGUGUGUAACGGAUAGAUGGGUAGGACCUAUUGCAUUGUCAUUCUCAAGCAUGCAUAUGCAUAACUAUUGGAAGCACCAUGAAAUUUUGAAAUCUAUGUACUACUGUAAUUACCAAUAAUCUAUUAGCUUUUGUGUUCAAUUUAAUUAAAUAAAAUAUUUAAAUAUUUUUUUUUAUUAUUUGGUUUGUAAUAAUUUAUUUACGAAUUGUGGCAGGGGUUUGGUUUUUGGUGUAUAUUUAGUUAUUGCAUGCAUGAACGUAAAGAAUUGGAUAAGUUAAACAAUUGACUCCAUUAAGAAUUGGUCAUUAAAGUUAGUAAUUAUGGUUUUAGAAACUAAUGGUGAAUAUUGAUUUUUCACCUGCAAAACUGGAUUUUUUCUAGAAACUCAGAAUAACAAUUAAAGAUCAAAUAUGUAAUACAUUUUUAAAUUUAAUGAAAAUAUUUUUAAUUUGAAUUUUAAUUUAACUCGUCAAAAUUAAUUUUGUUUCAAAAAAAACAAAGAGAUGCCCACUAAGGUUUCUUGAAAAAUAAGCGAAUGUUUUGAAAACAUGUUUCUGAAAGUUUGCUUGUUUCUUUUAGGCCAUUUUGAUGGCUGGUAUGACCUUCAAAAUCUAGUCUUAACUUCUGGUCAAGGUUGGGGAGUUUAUAUUAGAAAAUAAAUGGAAUGGUACGUAGAAUUAGAUGGUGGAUUUAAUAUGAUAUAGAUUUGGCUAUAUACAUGUAAUGUUACUGAUUGGAUAUGUUUUUGGUAUCCUAAUACCUUGUUCUAUAUUAUAUCUACAUGUUUUUGCAUAGGAGACUGUGAAUCAUAAAAGUGUAAAUUGGCUGGUUUGUUUGGAAACUUGAAAUAGCUAUAAAAUGGCUCAAAUUUUACCAAAAAUAGAGCUCACGUUCCAACUAGUAAUCUUCCUCAUCGCAACUUCAGUCGACAUGAGUCACAUAGCGACAUUGAGUGGACUGAAUUCACGAUGUGACAAACUGUUUGGUGACGUCACGACAUCGGCCAUGAGAUUUUAAAACUUUACAAUUUGGUCUUCUUUUAUGUUCGGGUCCAUAAAAAAGCUUUCGUAAACCCGAUUAAGACUCAGAUUUGAUUAUGUAGCAUAUUGCAAAUGUGUUUAAUUUAUAAUUGUAUAUUUGAAUGAUUAUGUUUCUGUAUAAUUGACUAUAGUUACUCCUACAACGAAUGUGGCAUCCUGUAGCUUGGACCCAACGAUUAGGUCAGGCAAGGGGUGUUACACGAUUGGUAUUUUAGCAAAAUAAAAUGGGAGGAUGAGUAGAUUUUAACAAGACCUUAAGCAGACUUACAAAAACACUUAACCACAUAAUUAAAUCAACUUACUUGACACACUUGCACAAUUUUAAAUCCAAGCAGAUUGGCCUCAAAAUUUCAGGACUCUACAAUUUGGUCCUGAAAUUUUGAAACUUUACAAUUUGGUCCAAUCUCAUGCUCAAGUCAACAGAAGAGCCUUUGUAAACUCGGUGAAGAAUCAAAUUUCAUUAUGUAUCAUAAUGCAAAUGUGUUUAACUUAUAAUUGUAUAUUUAAAUGAUUAUGUUACUAUAUAAUUGAAUGAAAUUGCUCCAGCAAUGAAUGUGACAUCCUGUAGCUCGGACCUUUGAUCGGGUCGGACGAGGGAUGUUACACACCAAUUAUUUUAGCAAAAGGAAAGGGAGGAUGAGUAGAUUUUAACAAAGAGCUUCAAGAGAUAUAGACUGAAAGAAAGAAAAAAUUUUAUAAAAUAGAAAGAUAGGUCUCACCAAGUUGGAAACUUGAAAAUUGAAGUUAAAGCCAAUUUCCCCCCGAAAUACUAGACGCUGUUUUAGGCUUAGAGAUAUUUAAGAAAAAAAACCUUAAAGAGGUCUACAAGUGAUCUAUUCGCCCAUGAUCAACCAUACAGGAAAGCAAAUUCUAGAUAAGUUCAACCAUACAAAUCACUCUACUUAUGGAAACUCAACAUUUAAGAGAUCAUGAAAUAUGCAUUUAGAGUUUAGUUUUUCUUUCGGGAUAAUAUGAAUUCAAAACCCAUGUUUACUUCCAUUUAAUGGAACCAUUGAAGCAUAUAGAAUAUGAUAGAUAUUUAGAUAUUAGAGAAUACAUGGAAGAUACAUAAUAUAACAAAUUCAAUCGAAUGAAUAAUUGAAUUUACUUUUGAUUUAAAAUAUAAUAUAAUAUAAAUAGUUUUAAAUAUAUUGUAUAAAAUUACCAAAUUAUAAUUUCAUAUGUGGUAAUAAAACUAGUAUAUUUAUAUAUAGUAACUUAUUAGAACAAAAAAAACAAGAUAAACCCUGAGAAUAUCUAUCUCAUCAAUCUUAGUUUAUACGUGUCAAAUUUCAAACAAAAAAUCAAACUCUUAAACACUAAACACUGAAAGGUUUUGUUAUAAGUAUCAAUAUGAUUAGUAAUAAAUUUGGUUUAAUUUACUAUUUACAAAGAAAAAUAUCAGUAUAAACAAACAUUAGCAAUUAAAUUAGAUUUUGAUCUCAAACAAAAAAAUCAUAACGAAUAAAAGUUAAACAAGCCUAAUAAACAAUAGAACAAAAUCUUAAUAUAGUAUUAUAAGAUGUUAAAAGGUUAAAUUUUAGUGCAUAAGAAAAGCACUUCUCUUACGCAUUUUGUGUAUAUAGAUAUCAAUAUUUUAAUAAAAAAAGAUAACAAGUAAAAAGAAACUAUUAAAAAGCAAAAGUGAAAGAUGGCAUGCCAAUAUCUUAUUUUUGUUGUUGCAUUUGUUUUCAUGGUUCUUGUUGGGGCAUUUGCUGUCGAAUCGUCACCUUCAGUAGUCCCUUCCAAGGCAUCUUCACCUUCGAAGUCGCCAUCUACUUCAAGCUCCUCUUCCCCUAGCCCUAGUAAAAGCGACAACCCUAGCGCCAACAAAGGAUACGCUUUUGAGGUUGAGUCUCUUGAGGAGGUCUCAUCCCCUCCUUCACAAACUGCCACUGAUGAAGUUUUUGACUCCCUUCUCCUAGCCCUAAAAACACAGGUGAUGUUGCUGAUAGUGAUAGCCCUAAAUCUGGUAAUGAUAGUGCAACACCAGCACCAGCACCAGCACCCUCUAAUGCCAUUGAAAUCAAGGCCACCACUUGCAUUGUCUGUAACACCCCACACUCGGCGUACACGUUAUGAUCAGAUUCUAGAGGUUGUAACGCUUAUGCAAAAAGAGACAAAUGUUUCAUCUGAUGAAAACCACUUCAAUGGAAGGAAAAUUCAAUUGAAUUACUCUUUUGGAAAACAUUGCGACUUUUCGAGAUCACGGUUUAAUUUUGUAUCUAAAAACAAAGCCAAUUCACUUGAAAAUACUUGCGUGCUAAAACAUUUUGAACAAUUUGAUUAACCUUGCAGCGAAAUACCUUAUAGUUCUUUGUAUAUAAAAAAAAGUGAUUCAUUUUAAUUGUCUUAGGUUAAGCAUCCUUAAAUCAUAAAACCUUCGCGUAGUGAGUAUAAAAAAUUGUCCUAACGAACUAAACAAAAACAAAAAUUAAAAUGUCCAACCAAAAAUAAAAACCCAAAACAGUCCAGAAAUGUCCAUGAUCAAAACAAAUGAAAAAGUUCGUAGUGCUUAAUUGAAGAAUUUAUGAAACCCUAGUUCCCGAGUCACCGUCCAUUCCUAGGUCGGAAGUUUACCUGAAACAAAUCAUACAAACUGUGAGCUUUAAGCCCAAUGUGUGUUUUAACCCAUAAUCUUAGUACAAACAGACACAUAAUUCAGCUUGUCUUAUAGCAUAUGUCAUAUUAUUUCUUAUCACAGAUCAGUUUAUAAUAUAAAGCAUAUUUUAUCAUAUUUUACGUAACAUAUCAUAUCGAUACAUAACAUGGCAUAUCGAAUCAUAACAUAGCAUAUCUUAUCAGAUUUAUAUCAAGUCCUACGCUCAUCUACUACAAACCAUCUCUGUCCAACCAAUCACAACGUAUAUGACUACUAAAGCCCAUCCAUCCAAUCACACCAAUAGGUGGCGGUGUGCCACUCAUAUAAUUGCAACUAAGCUGCCAUACAUAAAUUUGUGUUCUAGCCGCCAUAAGUGCAAUAUAAACUGCCAUAUAGAACUUGGUCCAUCAUAUCAUAACCCACGCCGAAACACAAACAAAUCAUAAUCAUAUAUAUAUCAUUCCUACAUAUAUCAUAAACUAUACGCCAAGCAUACUUACAUAUAAAUCAUAACAUAACACAUAAUUUAAUGGUAACAUUUUCUACUUAACAUACUUCCUAAGCCUACCCACACGACCUGCAAAAAUUACACAUUCAUACCACCAGGUGGCAACACACAAUCAGUCACAUGGCCUACAUACACGGCCGUGUGGCACUAGGCAGUUUCAAAAUACAGCCUAGUUUUGCGAUUAAAUCUAGUUUUUGGGUUGAAUUCACACACCUAAUAGCGAGAUUGAUCCUCCACACAACCGAACACCUAGAACCCUACAAACGGAAUCAAAACUAAACGUUUACAACUUUGAUUUAGCACAAAAAUUUCCACUUAAAUUCACUCUUUUCACAAGAAAGUAGUCCCUAAAUCAAUAACGAGCACUUGCUGCAACUUAUAGCAACUCCUCUAAGAACUUAAUUUGCUGGAGGAUCGUCUAUCACCACAUGCUCUUUUCCUAAAACGAAAGAUUCCGCAAUAAAAAAAAUUUCAUCACAAGGAGAAUCAAUUAACAAAAUAGAAAAGAAAAGAACAAGAGAAAGAAAGAAUAAUCUUGACAGAUGCCGCAAGACCAAGACCAACCCAAAAGCCAAUUGAAAAGUAAAGAAAACAAAAGAAUGAAAACAAGUAGCAGUGAUAGCAAAAAGGGAGAAUUUGAAUGGUAGUGGGAAGGUAAGAAACGUGAGGACGGGAUUGGUA
rnacentral:lncRNA from 1 species